UGAAACACUUUCUCUCGUUCGAUCCCCGAAAUUAAGCGUCAUCGAGCCGGGUUAGUACUUAGAACUGUGACCGCUUGGGAAUACGAGGUACUGUAAG